rnacentral:rRNA from 1 species
UACGUAUGGUGCAAGCGUUAUCCGGAUUUACUGGGUGUAAAGGGCGCGUAGGCGGGAUGACAAGUCAGAUGUGAAAACUAUGGGCUUAACCCAUAGCCUGCAUUUGAAACUGCCGUUCUUGAGUGCUGGAGAGGCAAUCGGAAUUCCAUGUGUAGCGGUGAAAUGCGUAGAUAUAUGGAAGAACACCAGUGGCGAAGGCGGAUUGCUGGACAGUAACUGACGCUGAGGCGCGAGAGCGUGGGGAGCAAACAGG